AAAGGCAGGCCCUGUAGCUCAGUUGGGCAGUAGCUGUCGAAGGAGGUGGAUGCAUUCUCCCCAAUGCUGAUGCAGGAGCCCACAGGAGACUUCAGUUACCCUGAGGACUUGCCUAAGCUACCAGAGCUGCUAGACCCAGCCAAGCCUGAGGAGCUGUUGGGGUUGCUACUGCUGGCAUACCCCGAGGAGACAUCACACACUCACUGCACUGAGGAUCCCGGCUGGGAAUGGCUCAAGCCCAAGCGAGAAUUCUUCCAGUGCCCCUAAUGCCAAAUCAGCCUAUCCAUCCCUCCUCCCUCAUCCAGCUCAGGAGGGAUCCCAGUGAAAGUACUGCUCCUCGUGACUGAGGAGAUGAGCGGGUAUUGGAGAACUGUGACGGGAGGCUUUCUCUUUGCAGUGAAGAUUCAGGAGGAAUGAGAGAAGCAGCUGAUAACAUGGGCAGCCAUUACAAUGUGACCAACCACCUCUUUGCAGAUCGCCAGUAAGUGUUCUGUGGACAACUAGUCGUGCGUGGACAGCAGAUAAGGUGGAUAUCUGAAAAAAGUCAGAGGUACU